GGGCAGGGCGCUUAGGGUUCCGUUGCCGACAUGGCAGGUCUGGUCCGAGAAGUGCCACCCUUGCGGCAAAUUCCGCACAGGGCACACGGCGGGCCAAAAUCCCGGGAGAU
rnacentral:sRNA from 2 species